GACGAACGCUGGCGGCGUGCUUAACACAUGCAAGUCGAACGGAAAGGCCCUGCUUUUGUGGGGUGCUCGAGUGGCGAACGGGUGAGUAACACGUGAGUAACCUGCCCUUGACUUUGGGAUAACUUCAGGAAACUGGGGCUAAUACCGGAUAGGAGCUCCUGCUGCAUGGUGGGGGUUGGAAAGUUUCGGCGGUUGGGGAUGGACUCGCGGCUUAUCAGCUUGUUGGUGGGGUAGUGGCUUACCAAGGCUUUGACGGGUAGCCGGCCUGAGAGGGUGACCGGCCACAUUGGGACUGAGAUACGGCCCAGACUCCUACGGGAGGCAGCAGUGGGGAAUAUUGUACAAUGGGCGGAAGCCUGAUGCAGCAACGCCGCGGGCGGGAUGACGGCCUUCGGGUUGUAAACCGCUUUCGCCUGUGACGAAGCGUGAGUGACGGUAAUGGGUAAAGAAGCACCGGCUAACUACGUG
rnacentral:rRNA from 1 species